rnacentral:rRNA from 1 species
UACGUAGGGACCAAGCGUUGUCCGGAUUUAUUGGGCGUAAAGAGCUCGUAGGCGGCCCUCCACGUCGGAUGUGAAAGCUCAGGGCUCAACCCUGAGAUGCCAUUCGAUACAGGAAGGCUAGAGGUAGGUAGGGGAAAGUGGAACUCCUGGUGUAGCGGUGAAAUGCGCAGAUAUUGCUCGGAAGGCCGGAGCCGAAGGGGCCCCACUGGUACGUAACUGACGCUGAGGCACGAAAGCGUGGGGAGCAAACAGG